GGGCGGGUCUGGCUGAGGUUGUCGCCGGUCUAGACACCUGGCUCGUCCGCUCCUUGGGCGUCCUCCGCGUUAGUCAGCCCGCGUAGGCGCAAAUUGAAUGCUUGCGCCUACCCGGGGACAGGCGCAGCCCGCAGAGGGGCGUCUCUGUAAGAACCAAAAAGUUUUAUUUUCGCGGUUUUAUAAAUCGUACCGGAAGUGAGGAGAAGGGAUAAAAAACAUGUUCCCUUGUACACACUUUUUAAAAUGACUCAAAAGGACUGCGUUGUUACCCACAUUUACAGUUCCCGGCGAGGCUGCCCGGGCAUUUGAGAGGAACCUGCGAGGGGACUGAAGAAGCAGUCGGAGAGGAAGAGAUCAGGAGGCGUUUAUUAUUAGAGAAGCCAAGGAAAGACAGCGACUCAAGAAGGAGGGAGUGACCAACUGCUAAGGGAUCAAGUAAAGAGGACUGAAGAAUGUCACAUGUAUAUAUGAGAAGCCAUUGGUGACCUUCGCAAGAGCUGUUUAGGUAGAGAGAGGGAAGCCAGACCAAAGAGGUGAGGAACGAGUGAGAGCUAGUCUAUGACAAAGCUGAAGGAUUUUAAAGGGGUCUAAAAAAUCAUCAGAUUGAGGAAGGCCGUGGCUUGUCAACCUCCGGAGGAAUCAAAGCUCGCCCUUAUUGAGGUGCAAAGCUACUGCCUGAAGUCUUAACAUCCUUAAAAGUGUUUUUAAGUCUGAGGGUGAUGAUCCCUGGAGAUGAAUCUGAAGAAUACAGAACAGAAACAUGGAAUGAUGCUGGGCCUUUAAUGAUGUUAUUCAGCCACUGAAUUGGAAAACCCUAGACUAGUCACUCUACCUCUAAAUAUAUGAAACUGCAAAAGAAAAAAAUGGGAAAAGAGAGGAUGUGAAGACCAUUUCCCCUAUGUGAGAUACACCUCAGAAGCUAAGAAUAG